rnacentral:rRNA from 1 species
GACAGAGGAUGCAAGCGUUAUCCGGAAUGAUUGGGCGUAAAGCGUCUGUAGGUGGCUUUUUAAGUCCGCCGUCAAAUCCCAGGGCUCAACCCUGGACAGGCGGUGGAAACUACCAAGCUGGAGUACGGUAGGGGCAGAGGGAAUUUCCGGUGGAGCGGUGAAAUGCGUAGAUAUCAGAGGACACCUGACGGUGAGUGAGAGCGGCUUUCGUCGGACCAUUGUUGACGCUGAGACAGGAAAGCGUGGGUAGAAACACGG